rnacentral:lncRNA from 1 species
AGGAAAUGUUCUUCCUUGAUGCUCUGAGCUCUCUAAGAAGUUACCACAAAACCAAACCCAUCAGAAGUUUGCAGGACGUCCUUGUUUAGAGCUGGGAAAUAAACCACGAAACAGCGCAAAGGAGAGUCCAGGCCUGCCAAUGCUUCCGCGAACUCCUCGCCCCGACCUCAUCCUUCUCCAGCUCCUACCUGCAGGCCUCAGGCCUCCUGACCUCCAGGCUCCUUACCCUCCCGCUGGCCUCUGCUCUACACUCAUCUUUGUGCCCUGCUUCCAAUCAUGCCAGGCCUCGGGGUCCCUGUCUCUAACUUCACCAUGAGACUCAGGUGCUUCUCUACACUCCACCCUCUCCAACACUGUUUGGAAUCUCAGGCUUGGUCCCAAUCCUAUGGGCUAACUUUGAAAAGACCGCUGUUCAUAAGGAGAGAGAAAGGAGGAAGAGAUGAGAAAGGAAGACAGAGAAAGAAACUCUAUGAUCACGGUUUUUCCAAAAUUCAUGGUUAAAUUAGAACUUACUAUGUGCAAAUAUAGAAGCACGGGUCCACAGAGUUCCAGAGAAUGAAUGCUGACGACUAAGCACCAGCCUCCACUCCCUGCCCCAUAGUGAGUAUCCCUCCUCUGUGUGCUCAUGCUGUGAAUCCCCCCCAUUCUACCACUUCUCCCCUCAUCACUGGCUUGCUGUAGGAUCAGAAGUUCCUUAAGAACAAGAACCUUCUCCCAGUGUAUCCCCAGCACCUAAUACAGAAGGUAAUAAGGAGGAGGCAUCUGCUAAACGCUUGUUGAAGGAGUGAAAUUGAGAGACCAGGAAGGGCCUGCAGGCAUUGUGGUGAGCCUGCCUGUUGUCCACGUGGCUGCAGCAAGCAAACAUGGGUUUUCCUUGGAAGGACUGUGGGCCAUCAACCCAUUAAUUGCCGAGUUGCUUCUAUCAGGGCAAGGCUGUGGAAUCCUGUUAUCCUAGACAAUGAGGUACAGGGUGCAAGCAGAUCUGUGUGCUGCUGUCUUCCGGUAAACGGACCAAGUUCUCACUUCCCAUCCUCCUCCCCAGUCUCACCCACCCGUGCUCCCAAGAGAGCAAUUCAUCAUGUCAGUGUCUGGUGUUUUCUUGAAGGCCUGUGCUAAAUAAAGUGGAUUGUUUAUAAAGUGGGA